rnacentral:lncRNA from 1 species
AUGGGUCUCUCUGUGGGUCUCAUCUCUCUAUGGGAUUCUAUGGGUCUCUGUGGGGCGCUGUGGGUCUCUGUGGGUCUCUAUGGGGUCUCUAUGGGUCUCAGUGUGGGUCUCUAUGGGUCUCUAUGGGUCCCUAUGGGUCUCUAUGGGUCCCUAUGGGUCUCUGUGGGUCUCUAUGGGUCCCUAUGGGUCUCUAUGGGUCUCUAUGGGUCUCUAUGGGUUUCUGUGGCGUCUCUAUGGGUCUCAGUGUGGGGCUCUAUGGGUCUCUAUGGGGCGCUGUGGGUCUCUAUGGGUCUCUAUGGGGUCUCUAUGGGUCUCAGUGUGGGGCUCUAUGGGUCUCUGUGGGGCACUGUGGGUCUCGCUAUGGGUCUCUAUGGGUCCCUAUGGGUCUCUAUGGGGCGCUGUGGGUCUCUAUGGGUCUCUAUGGGUCUCUAUGGGUCUCUGUGGGUCUCUAUGGGUUUGUAUGGGUCUCUAUGGGUCUCAGUGUGGGUCUCUAUGGGUCUCCAUGGGUCCCUAUGGGUCCCUAUGGGUCUCUAUGGGUCUCUAUGGGGUCUCUAUGGGUUUCUGUGGGGUCUCUAUGGGUCUCAGUGUGGGGCUCUAUGGGUCUCUGUGGGGCACUGUGGGUCUCGCUAUGGGUCUCUAUGGGGCACUGCAGGUCUCUAUGGGGUCUCUAUGGGUCCCUAUAGGACUUGUGGGGCGCUGUGGGUCUCUAUGGGGUCUCUCUACGGGUCUCUGUGGGUCUCUAUGGGUCCCUAUGGGUCUCUAUGGGUCCCUAUGGGUCUCUAUGGGUCUCUGUGGGUCUCUAUGGGUUUGUAUGGGUCUCUAUGGGUCUCAGUGUGGGUCUCUAUGGGUCUCUAUGGGUCCCUAUGGGUCUCUAUGGGUCCCUAUGGGUCUUUAUGGGUCUCUGUGGGUCCCUAUGGGUCUCUAUGGGUCGCUGUGGGUCUCUGUGGGGUCUCUAUGGGUCUCAGUGUGGGGCUCUAUGGGUCUCUGUGGGUCUCUAUGGGUCUCUAUGGGUCUCAUCUCUCUAUGGGUCUCUAUGGGUCCCUAUGGGUCUCUAUGGGUCUCUAUGGGUCCCUAUGGGUCUCUAUGGGGCGCUGUGGGUCUCUAUGGGUCUCUAUGGGUCUCAGUGUGGGGCUCUAUGGGUCUCUAUGGGUCACUAUGGGUCUCUAUGGAUCCCAAUGGGUCCCUCUGGGUCUCUCUGGGUGUGACCCCUGA